rnacentral:lncRNA from 1 species
UAGAACUGCUAAGUUGUGAUAUUCAUCAUAGGAUUGUUCUUACUACUUGUGUUCUAGAGUCAUGAACUAGAACCCUUAUCUUAGAAUCAUUAGGCACAAUGCCAUCGCUUGGUAUUUGCUCUGAACUGAAUUCUAUUGAGCUAGGAUUGCUAGAACAUACGAGAGUUGAUUUAGGAACCCUGGUGAACACAUAUUCAACCCGAUCGUAAAGCUUGCUAGAAGCGAUAUCGAUCGAUGAUCCAAUAGAUUAAUCAAUCGAUAUUGUGAAAGGUGUAUCGAUCGAUAUUCCUAUAGAAUAAUCGAUUGACACUUUCUACAGAUCAACAUGCGAGAGCUGAGAUCUUAGAUCUAGUGAUAGAUAAUCUAGACAAGCGAGAGCUGGUACAUUAUUGUUAUUGUUUGAGUUCUAUAAUAUCUUGCAAGCAACAAUUAGCCUCUAUAUCAUUAUAAUCAUGAUUACCUGAAUAGAAACCGUAGAUUUAGCA